rnacentral:tRNA from 1 species
UCUAAUAUAAUUAAAUAGUUAUAAAAACAAAUAAUUUAAACUCAUUUUAAAAAAAAUUUAUGAAAUUUUAAAACUUGUAGAAAACCAUAUAACAUAUAAUUACAUUUUAUUUUUUUUAAAUAACAUAAAUUUAAUUUUUAAUAUUAGAA